rnacentral:rRNA from 1 species
UGUAAUUUGCAGAGGGCGCUWUGGUGUUGGCAGCGGUCCAAGUYCUUUGGAACAGGACGUCACAGAGGGUGAGAAUCCCGUACGUGGUCGCUAGCCCUCACCGYGUAAAGCCCCUUCGACGAGUCGAGUUGUUUGGGAAUGCAGCUCUAAAUGGGAGGUAAAUUUCUUCUAAAGCUAAAUAUUGGCCAGAGACCGAUAGCGCACAAGUAGAGUGAUCGAAAGAUGAAAAAGCACUUUGGAAAGAGAGUCAAAUAGCACGUGAAAUUGUUGAAAGGGAAGCGCUUGCAGCCAGACUUGCCUGUAGUUGCUUAUCUAGACUUCUGUCUAGUGCACUCUUCUAUAGGCAGGCCAGCAUCAGUUUGGGCGGUUGGAUAAAGGUCUCUGUCACGUACCUCCUCUCGGGGAGGCCUUAUAGGGGAGACGACAUGCAACCAGCCUGGACUGAGGUCCGCGCAUCUGCUAGGAUGCUGGCGUAAUGGCUGUAAGCGGCCCGUCUUGAAACACGGACCWAGGAGUCUAACAUCUAUGCGAGUGUUUGGGUGUCRAGCCCAUACGCGUAAUGAAAGUGAACGGAGGUGGGAACCUUAGGGUGCACCAUCGACCGAUCCUGAUGUCUUCGGAUGGAUUUGAGUAAGAGCAUGGCUGUUGGGACCCGAAAGAUGGUGAACUAUGCUUGAAUAGGGUGAAGCCAGAGGAAACUCUGGUGGAGGCUCGCAGCGGUUCUGACGUGCAAAUCGAUCGUCAAAUUUGGGCAUAGGGGCGAAAGACUAAUCGAACUAUCUAGUAGCUGGUUCCUGCCGAAGUUUCCCUCAGGAUAGCAGUAACGUAUUCAGUUUUAUGAGGUAAAGCGAAUGAUUA